rnacentral:rRNA from 1 species
UACGAAGGGGGCUAGCGUUGCUCGGAAUUACUGGGCGUAAAGGGCGCGUAGGCGGAUAGUUUAGUCAGAGGUGAAAGCCCAGGGCUCAACCUUGGAACUGCCUUUGAUACUGGCUAUCUUGAGUUCGGGAGAGGUGAGUGGAAUGCCGAGUGUAGAGGUGAAAUUCGUAGAUAUCGGGAGGAAUACCAGUGGCGAAGGCGGCGACCUGGGCCAAUACUGACGCUGAGGUGCGAAAGCGUGGGGAGCAAACAGG